rnacentral:rRNA from 1 species
AUUGAACGCUGGCGGCAUGCCUUACACAUGCAAGUCGAACGGCAGCACGGGGGCAACCCUGGUGGCGAGUGGCGAACGGGUGAGUAAUGCAUCGGAAUGUACCCAGUAGUGGGGGAUAACCAGUCGAAAGAUUGGCUAAUACCGCAUACGCACUAUGGUGGAAAGCGGGGGACCGUAAGGCCUCGCGCUAUUGGAGCAGCCGAUGUCCGAUUAGGUAGUUGGUGGGGUAAUGGCCCACCAAGCCUGCGAUCGGUAACUGGUCUGAGAGGACGACCAGUCACACUGGGACUGAGACACGGCCCAGACUCCUACGGGAGGCAGCAGUGGGGAAUUUUGGACAAUGGGCGCAAGCCUGAUCCAGCAAUGCCGCGUGUGUGAAGAAGGCCUUCGGGUUGUAAAGCACUUUUGGCAGGAAAGAAAUCGUGCGUGCUAAUACCAUGCGCGGAUGACGGUACCUGCAGAAUAAGCACCGGCUAACUACGUG